AACGAACGCUGGCGGCAGGCUUAACACAUGCAAGUCGAGCGCGCUCUUUUAGAGCGAGCGGCAAACGGGUGAGUAACGCGUGGGAAUCUACCCAUUUCUACGGAAUAACACAGAGAAAUUUGUGCUAAUACCGUAUACGUCCCUUUAGGGAGAAAGAUUUAUCGGAGAUGGAUGAGCCCGCGUUGGAUUAGCUAGUUGGUGAGGUAACGGCUCACCAAGGCGACGAUCCAUAGCUGGUCUGAGAGGAUGAUCAGCCACACUGGGACUGAGACACGGCCCAGACUCCUACGGGAGGCAGCAGUGGGGAAUAUUGGACAAUGGGGGCAACCCUGAUCCAGCCAUGCCGCGUGAGUGAUGAAGGCCCUAGGGUUGUAAAGCUCUUUCACCGGUGAAGAUAAUGACGGUAACCGGAGAAGAAGCCCCGGCUAACUUCGUGCCAGCAGCCGCGGUAAUACGAAGGGGGCUAGCGUUGUUCGGAUUUACUGGGCGUAAAGCGCACGUAGGCGGAUAUUUAAGUCAGAGGUGAAAUCCCAGGGCUCAACCCUGGAACUGCCUUUGAUACUGGAUAUCUUGAGUGUGGAAGAGGUGAGUGGAAUUCCGAGUGUAGAGGUAAAAUUCGUAGAUAUUCGGAGGAACACCAGUGGCGAAGGCGGCUCACUGGUCCAUUACUGAC
rnacentral:rRNA from 1 species